ACGUAGGGGGCAAGCGUUAUCCGGAUUUACUGGGUGUAAAGGGAGCGUAGGCGGCAAGGCAAGUCUGAUGUGAAAACCCGGGGCUCAACCCCGGGACUGCAUUGGAAACUGCUUAGCUAGAGUGUCGGAGAGGUAAGUGGAAUUCCUAGUGUAGCGGUGAAAUGCGUAGAUAUUAGGAGGAACACCAGUGGCGAAGGCGACUUACUGGACGAUAACUGACGCUGAGGCUCGAAAGCGUGGGGAGCAAACAG
rnacentral:rRNA from 1 species